GCCCUCGUAGCUCAGGGGAUAGAGCGCUGGUUUCCGGUACCAAAGGUCGGAGGUUCGAAUCCUCUCGAGGGCACCA
rnacentral:tRNA from 1 species